AUACGGAGGUGGCUAGCGUUGUUCGGAUUCACUGGGUGUAAAGGUCAUGUAGGCGUUUUAUUAAGUCGGAUGUGAAAUCCCUUGGCUCAACUAAGGAACUGCAUUCGAUACUGGUAGAAUAGAGUACGGGAGAGGUAAGCGGAAUUCCAGAAGUAAGAGUGAAAUCUGUAGAUAUCUGGAAGAACACCAUUAGCGAAGGCGGCUUACUGGUCCGUAACUGACGCUGAAAUGAGAAAGCUAGGGGAGC
rnacentral:rRNA from 1 species